rnacentral:rRNA from 1 species
CAGUAGCCGCGGUAAUACGAAGGGGGCUAGCGUUGUUCGGAUUUACUGGGCGUAAAGGGCGCGUAGGCGGGCGAAUAAGUCAGGGGUGAAAUCCCAAGGCUCAACCUUGGAACUGCCUUUGAUACUGUUUGUCUUGAGUUCGAGAGAGGUAAGUGGAACUGCGAGUGUAGAGGUGAAAUUCGUAGAUAUUCGCAAGAACACCAGUGGCGAAGGCGGCUUACUGGCUCGAAACUGACGCUGAGGCGCGAAAGCGUGGGGAGCAAACAGGAUUAGAUACCCCCGUAGUCCCUGUCUCUUAUAC